UGUGUGGUUAUAGUGGCCACUACCUUGUCUCAGCAUUGCUAUUUCUUCAUAGAAGACCCUGCAAGACUGAAGCAGUGCUUGGAGUCGGAGAGGAGAGAGUCAGACAAUGUGCACAUUUAUUUCUUUGGAUUAAAGAGGAAGUGGAGAGUUUCUAUUUGGGAUGAUGAUAAAGUUUUGGAAAUGGUAGCCAUGAAUGUUGCACAGUAUUGUUGAAGGUAAUUAAUGCCACGGAUUUAUACACUUAAAAUGGUUAAAAUUUAAUGGGUGUAUUUUAUGAUUUUUUUUUUAAGGAAGUGGGUUGGUCUAUCCAUAGACUAGUCCAGGGUAAUUAACAAACAAUUGCCAUCUUGUUCCCUCUUGAUUUCAAAAGUCUUGCUGACUUUCUGUCCCUUCUGUAGGGUUGACUUAUCCUGGGAGCAGUGACAAAAGCUGGCUCUUGUUGUAGGAACCAUACAGAUGCUGAUACUCAAUCUAAUUCUGGGGCAUUUGAGAGCAUAUGCAGCUUCUCUAGCUCCUAAGACUUCAAUGCUUAAGUAUUGGAAUGCCUUUUAACCACCAAAAGAUGUACCUAAGAGUUUGUCGCUGGGGUAGACUCUCCUACUUUUCCUACAGAAAUGAUAACCCAUUAUCACUGAGUAUAGGCACUCAAUAAAUUUUUUCGAAUGCCAUUGCCAACUCGUUUUUCUCUCACUUCCAGAACUGAAAACUUGAGUGCAGAGUUGGAAUAGGUAAAGGCUUUUGGAUUUGUGGCUCAGACUUACUUCACUCUCCCCUAUCUGGGACUAUGAAUGUUCCCUAUCUGGGACUAUGAGUGUCUUUACUACCCAGAGUUCAGAGAACACUAGAAUAGCAAGGUUGAAAGAGGCUUGAAAAGUCCCCUGUUUGCCACCCCAGUGAUGCCUGUCUUAUGGUCACAGCCUUUGGUCACACACAGGUGUGGCUUCUAUCUUUGAGAAAGGUCAUACCCUGUGACCAUCACUCACCCCAGCUCCUCAGAGAGCCCCUCAACAUUUCAGACAUAAACAUUUUUGAAGUAUCUUCCACCAAUCCAGAGGCUUAUAGUUCUGAAAUCCCUGUAUUGGGUCCAGAUUGGAUUAUUUUAAUAUUCCAGGAAGAUGCUUUACAGUUGAGACAUUUUCAGUUCAAUUCACAUUUUCUACUUGUAAUUUCUAGCUGGAAAUUACCUAUGGAAGCUGAGUCACCUACCUCGCUCCUGGAGCCCGCUGGCUGUUUCCAAGGCCUUCUUCAUUAUUCAAACCACGACUCCAUCACAGGAAUACCCAAAGCAACAUUUGAUAGUUGUGGAAGAUUUUUACCCUCACAAGUCAUGAAUACUUUCUGUUUAUCGCUUACACUGAGGAUUUAUGACUAUCUAAGUGUUGUAUUUCCGAAGGGAAGCAUCCUAUCCUCAGAUCCAUUCUGCUCACGUCAGAAUACCUUUGAAGACUAGGCACUUAUUAUUUCUACAAUGAAUCUGUUUCCUCCAGACUCCCGGCUGUCACCGUCCUGACCUGCCACCUGUGUCACAUCCCAUCAAGUGCUGUGGAUGAGCCAGGUACCAGUAAACCAGCCCCCGAGGCUGGAGAAAUGUUGGAUGUAGAUGCUCACAGAAUCAUUCAUCAAAUCUUGGAAGCUUCGGAGAGAAGUGCGUAAAAUGAAAAUUUAGUUCCAGAGAAAUAGAGCCUCAAUUUAAUACCAUCUACCAAAGCACUGCCACGUCUGUCAUCUU
rnacentral:lncRNA from 9 species